UUCCAGGGAUGGGAAUCGAACCCACAGUGUUCCGUUUACCGGGCAGAUGCCAUGCCCACUAGGCUACCCUGGA
rnacentral:tRNA from 1 species